UGUUGCUCUGCCAGUUUUGGCCCCAGUUCCUGGACAAUGACUGCCAACCAGUCCUUGACCCUUUGAUUGCCACAGCAUGGACAUCACCAGCUCCACCAACGUUUGUGAUGAGGACUAGGUUGAAGUAAGAGUGGCCAUUGAUGGUAAACCUUAUGCCUCCCCUCCUGCUGCAGGGUACCCUACAAAAGCCCAACAAGAAAUAAGAUUACUCCACCCACCCCCUUCAAGAUAAAAAAACAAAAUGAAAUACAACAGUUUGGUUUUCCCUGACAAGGGAAAGAUACUAGACAUUACUAGCAGGACCAGUUUUUGUAUUAUUAGAUUUAAUUUUCUUAAGGGUAGCUUAGUAACCCUCUACCCCAAUUGAAAAGGGGUAAAGUCACCUCUUGUGAAGGGACCAAAAAAAAAAAAAGGCAAGAAAAUAGCUGAAGUAUUAACUUGAUGGCAUGCAAGAAGCUGCAGUGAGCAUACCUUCUGUAGGAGACGGGGACAAUCCCAGCUCUGAAUUGGGCAAUGUGUUGGAAGACAGGCUCAGAGAGAUCAAAGUGUUGCAGAGGAGGGUUACACCACCCUCCUGCAUUGUUUGAGAGGGCAUUGUUUGGUGGACAGAAAUUGGUGGCUGUGACCACAAUGGAGCCAGGCAGGCACCAUUUUGGGUCAUUCACGCACCUAAUCUCAUAGCAAGAUCCACAGCUCAAUCCACUGUUGAACAGAGCUGUGCUCAAAGCUGCUGUGUUU
rnacentral:lncRNA from 1 species